UCCAAUCGCAGCAACCUCCAAGUUGGUGAGACCUGGAAAUCAUUAUUAUUUACUACAUAAUUUAUUUUUAUGUCGUCGAUAUAAUUAUAAAUUUUAUGGUAAAUAAUAUGAGCUAAUUGGCUGCGUUCUCUUUUUUAUUUUUUUAUUUUUUUUUACUUGUUAUGCGUGUUAUAAAGUAUAAUUUUUAGUUUGAUUUUUAAUUUAUUAUGAUGUUUCAUGUAAUAGUUAUCUUUUUUUUUAGGCGUCAAAAGAAGUUCAACAUUUUUGAGAAAUUAUUUUUCAAUUAUAACUUGAGAAAUAUACACUCUUAUUUCUCACUUCUAAAAUGAAAACUAUAUUUCGAUACUGACUUGUAAACAAUUUUUAUUUUUUUAUGUGUUAUAAUAUUGAAAAAUAUUGGGAAAAUCAUUGAAGAAACAUCUAUUUAAUUACAAUCGUGACAAGGUUUCACCUCCUUCUCUUACAUAAAUUAUCCAUCUCAAUAAUCUGUACAGGAAUUACAAAUAUCAACUAUCCUUUCCUUCUUUCGAAAUCCAUGACUGCAUUAGCCCCGUCAAUCCUUGCUGAUUCACAUUCCGCAUCUAGCCACAUUUGACUCGAUCUCGAAUACGUCCAUCUGAGGCUGCAUUAAACGUGGUAGGAAGUUGGCUCGCGGACGUUAUCCGGUCCGCGAUCAGAUUUAUUCGACGUGGGCAACGUCGUGGUAUGGCACGAUUUGCGGUGCGGGUUGAGGGGGGAGGUGAGUUGGGAUUUAUAUUCAACGCACGGUCAGAAGCCGUGCAUCAUCGGCUUAAGUCAACGAGCCAAUCGCAAACAAGGCGGCCGCGCCCGAUAGCGCGCCUAUGCAGAUCGCCUCGAUUCACCUGCCACCUACGCGUAUACUAUUCUAAUCUAGAAACCUUUAUGCGCUUUUACGUUUACGUGACAUACGCGUCGUUUUGUAAGUUUGCAAGUUUUUUCUCUUGCGAUAGAAUUCUGUUUAUACAUAAAAUUAGAGAAAUGAGUUGUUCCUUCGUUUGAUUCUUCUAACUUCAUUUUUUUCUUUUUUUUUUUUUUUUGUAAAAUGUAUAAACGAUAACAUGUAUUGUGAAUAUUUGAUAAUAAUAAUAAGUUAACUGAUUAUUUUUAAUUGUGUUAUAUUUUGGAUGAUUAUAGGUUUAAUCGAAUUAAAAGUUUUAUUCGUAUUAUACGAAAUGGAAUUUGUGUAAAUCAAGUUCUGUAUCCAAUUUCGUAGCAUUGUUCUUGUUCAAUUUACGAACGAUACGAACGAACAAUUCGUGUACCUGUGAAUGUUAUAAUUGGUUUCUAUGUUUCGUCAGACGCAUCAAUAAUGAAGUUAUCAAUAACAGACCAAUUGAGGAUAUAGGCAAAAUUUGAAUCGUGAUUUUGAAUUGUUAUUUGAAUAUUUAAAAAAAAAAUUUUUUGAUAAUACUUAUGAUGCGUGUGUAAUAAUUGCACUCAAUUUAAAAUAAAAUGGACGUUUAAAUAAUCUGUAACAUAGAUUUGGAAAUUUCACGUUUUGGAAAUAAUAAAUAUUAAUAAGCAAAUGUUUUUCUGGUUAUGAAUGCCUAUUGAAAAAUCUUCAUUGUAGUAAAGUUUCGGUACAUUUAACAUGAAUGGUGGUUAAACGGCCGACAACUUUUAUUCUUGAAUUUCGUUCUUGUUCGUCUCGAGAGAGGGAAGUUGCGAUUGGAGCAGAUGGUUUUUGAGUUGGACUGAAUUCAAAUUAUGUAAGUAAUGUUUAUGAGUGCGAAUAAAUUCGAGGAUAAAGUAUUCCAGUGAAUUGUUUUUUGUAAAUAGUAAUUAAUUUCUAAAGUAUUGUAUUCAUAAUAGCACGAAAUAUUAAGAGAACUUAUGUAUUAGUUCUUUGAAAAUAAUUGUCCAAUUUAUAUUUCUUAAUGUAAUUCACGAUUAUUAUCUACCUUUAAAUUUGUCAAUUCUUAUUUUUUACAUCUUACUUUAUAUACAGAAUUCAAUUCACAAGAGUUUUAAUAAUGUUUCAUAAAAUAUUAAAAGAUAUUUUAAAACAUCAGUUUCAAGAUUAUACGCGCAUAAUUUUUAAAAAUAAUAGAAUUAAAUUAUUUUGAAUAUAAAAAAAAAAGACAUCAAUCUAAAUUCUGUGCAACAAGAUUAUGCAUUAAAGCUAGAUAAUCUACGUAAAAGCUCUAUUAAAAUUAGAAAUCUCAUACUAUCCCAUGUUAUCUUAAUUAUUUCAUAUAUACGUAUAAAACAUGCAUACUCUAUUAUAAUUCUCCGUGGCAACUUUUUUCUUUUUUUUUUUCUUUUAUAGAUAUCUAGUACGUGCCUCAAGUGCAAUAUCCUAUACGCACACGUGCAUCCGUAUAAGUAUACAUAUAUGAAUUUAUAUAUGUGCAUGCAUAUGCAUGCGUAUGCAUGGAUAUUUACGCGGUGGCCGGAUAUAUGUGUAUGAAUUUAUGUGGUGAUUCGUAUGUACGCGCGAAAUAGGUACAUAUGCUCCACUAUGCGAAUGUAUAUGGAUUCGUCGUAAAGGGAUUACGUGUUACACGGUUAUGUACGCAUAUGUAACGUUUUACACGUUUGUAUACGCGCACCAUACACAUAUCUCGAAAUCUUUCUAGUUUGUAUCUAGCUUUGCGUUAUAGAUUAAUACAAAUAAUCUGUUAAACUCGAUGUUUGAUCCUAUAAUGAUUUGAUUUUCAAGAUUUAUUGAAUUAAAUUUAAUAAAUUUAAUAGAAUUUAUUAAACUAAAAAAUAACAGCGAUAUAUUCCUUGUGAUUAAUAAGUAUACAAUUAAUUUGACAAAUAUUAUAUAAUAUAUUCAUUAAGUAAAAUCUUACAAUUGAUAAAAAUUUCCAAUAUUGUAGUCGUACGAUUGCCCUUCCCCCCUCCUCCAAUAUCAUAUCUAUUCCUCGCCACCAGUCUGAUAACAGAUAAGUAGCUGUCAAACCAUCCACCACGUCAUCGAUAUCCUCUCAUCGUCGAAAGGUUAGAAUCUUUCGACGCUUCAUCUUACUUUCUCCACCUUUUUCUUCCUCAUCCUUUCUCAGUCAGAAGAGUAGGAGGAGGAGGACACGACGAACGCGCCAACCCAUUUUCCAACGCGGCUAUUGUUCAGCGACUUUAUACACGCUCACGAGCGUGCAAAGCUUCAUUUUUUCCCCUCCCCUCCGCUUGUCUAGUCCACCACCCCUCCUUUUUGUCCACGUCUCUAUAUAUCCCAUUUUCGUUAUUUGUCCACCCUUUUCCCUCCUUCCUCUAUUCUUCGCCACUCUUAGCUCCUCUCCCCCUUUCUUUUCAACCUGUGUUCCCAACAUUGUUUCCACCGACCAUGCCCCUCUAUCCCUCCUUCGACUCGCGCCGGAAAAGGUGCCGUAACAUUUGUCGCGUGCCGUUUUAUUGGCGCCUCUUCCACAAAGCGCAACGAUUCCCCCCUCCCCCCCAUUUUUCUCUGUACUUGGCCUGCGAUUCAACUCGUGCAAUUUUUUUCUUCUUAUUCUCCCCUCUCUCUCUCUCUCUACCCAUUUUUCUUCUAUGAACGGUAAAGUGCUUCUUUUCUUUUAUUGGUUCAUUAUCCGGUGCGGUUUGUAAUUAUGCGCGCUGUGCUUAAUUAAGUAUACGUGGGGGUAAGAUAGUAUUGUUUACUAGGUAUGGACAGGAAAGUGUUGAUAAGAAUCGUGGAUAUUCGUAUUUUAUUAGUUUUUCCGAGAAUGGAUCUUUUUUUCCUUAAGGAUUACUUUUAGAAUUUUGAUUUAAUCGCGAAAUGUUUAACAAACUGUUAAUAUCUGUUAAUAAUUUAAAAAUCAAUUUUUUAUGGAGAAUUUUCCGAUAUAACUAUUAAAUUUAUCAAAAAUUAAAUAUUCCAUGUACAAUGUAGAAAAUUUUAUCAUAAGUUGGUUAAAUUUUCGUGGAAAGAAACUCGAAAGAUAAACUUAAAUUUCAAAGAGAGGGUUAGAAGAAAGAAACGCGGCAAAUUGAAUGGCAUAUCAAUAUCAGGAUCUUUUAGUUAGCAAUUUAAAAACGUUCUUAAAUAAAAAAUUAAAUUUGCAAAUUAAAUGCAUAUGCAUUUUAAAUACGCAUACAUUCGAAAAAUAUUUAAAUUUAGAAAUAUAUUGUUUUAUUUCUUCGAGAAAGAUAUUACGUGAACGAAAAUUCAAGGAUUUUUAACAUUAUUGCCAAGAAACAGUUGGAAUUCCUUCUCGCGUCUCUGCAUUCCUUUUUAUCUUUCUUUUUGUUUCAUCCUCCUAAGCUAGUUUAACCCUUCCAGUCCCAAUGGAUCCAUUUGUCGCUGCAAAAUUUAUACGUCUUCGCCAAAGAAUACUUGCACGCCAAAAUUCAAUUUCAGUAAACAUGAAGUAUAGCGAAGGAUCAACUUGCUGUCUUUCACCAUGAAUCUAAUAUAUCGCCAGAACUACGUGAUACGAUACGAAAUAAAUUAUUAAAAAUCUGGAAAAAUCGAUACGAGUCGUAUGUUCAAUUCUCUGAAAAUAUGAAAUAUUACUUUUACCGUAGUUAGAAAAUAAUUAUAAUUAUUUAUCGUCCUUGAUUUUCAUUAAAAAUAAUUAAUUCCGAUUCGAAACUUGAAAAUAUUCUAUUCAAUUGUAAGUUCAAUAAUUAAAAAAUAUUAAUUACGAAGAAAAAAAUAGUUUUUCUAAAUGAUUUAAUAUUUUUAAUAAUUAAUUAAUAAAAAUAUACAUAUAUAAUAUAUAAUCUUUAUUUUUAGUGAAAUAUUUUAAAAAAUAAGAUAGGUACAUCGUAGUACAAAUUCACAAUUUUUAAGUUUUUAACUAUUAUCUGUUUUUGUUUAUUCGUAAAUUGGAACAAAAGAUGACAAGACAAUUUUUAUACCGAUAUUACUUAGCGAGUGUUUCCCUUUGUGAAACGCGACGUACUUCCGGCUCGUUGGUCUUUUAUACAAGUUUCUCUGUUUGCAGGAAGGCUGCGUGAAUUAUCUGGAUCUUCCGAUAUUCUUUCUGAGAUUUGAACCCUUUGUAGCAAAAAUCGGACAAGGAAAUUUUUGUUUCCAUUGAUAUAAUGAGCGUGAGACGUGAUUGAUAUCUAUUAAAAAGAUACGGAAAAAAUUCUUUCAAAAUUAUUUUAUCGUGUAAUUUGAUUAGUUUGUUACUUUCGUUCCAUGAAUAUCGUGCAACAUCCCUGUAACUUCAACAAUGAAAAUAAAUACAAAAAAAAAUACAAAAAAUAGAACGGUAGAUUUACACAUUAUUCUGAAAAUGCGUACGUAAUAUGGUAAUAGCGAAAAAAAAUAACGCUGACGCGUCGUCUAUCGUGUCUGACCACUACACAUGUUCCAAGCUUGGGGUAGGUCGAUGAAGCCGUGCGAGAGGAUAGAGACGGGGAAACGUUAAAAAUUUCGCCUCUAUUUAGAACGACGAUAUCUCAUCAACGAUAAAUGAUAUCGAGAUGAAAUAAAAAAGGUUUUAAAGAGAAAGAUUUCUUGCUUCUUGUGGCAUCAAAUUUGAGGAGAAAGGAUGAACAGGUUCGGAAUAAUAAUCGUUUAAAGUUUUAAUAAUUUCAAUACAUGUUGUUAGCAAUGGAAGGGAUGAUUAAUUAAUUUUUAAUUAAUCGUUUAUUUAAAAGUACAAAGAAUUUUUCAGAGAGAUGAAAAAGAUGGUGAUAUUACAUUUUAUAUUUAAGAAAAAAUUCAUUUAUUGGACGCGUUUAAAAAUAUUAAUUUUAUUACGAUUAUUUGGAAAUUUAUUUUAUUGACAUGAAUAUACUAAUAAUUUUUGCAACAAAGAAUCUUUAUAGAAAUUAAAAAGGAAUAAUAAUGUUUGCUCCUCACGAUUGAGCGACCACUUUAAUACAGCAAAUGUCCACGUAAAUAUCCAACAGUUCAGAAAUAAAAAAAAAAAAAAGAAAAAGCAGGCAGGAUAUCAAUUGCCGUUCGCCUCUUUUUACACGUGUUCCCUAUCGAAAUUCGAUAGUUUCAUAAUUCACGAGAUCGUGCAGCACACGGGCAAAACGGGAGAGGGGGGAAACAAUUAGAAAUUAAAAACGGAUUUGCCACGGUAUCAUUCGGUAUUCAGUUCGUUUGAUGCAUCACGAGUGCUCCGUGAUGGCCGUGCCGCUUUGUGAUUCAGCCAAAUUAAUCCGAUUGUUCGUAAUUGUCGGUAAAAUAAAUUAAUCGAUCCAACGACGAUAAACUCUGUACGAGUCCUAAAACACUUCCGAUUCCUCGUAUUAUAUUUCCUAUAUUUUGCUUGCCAUACCAAAUUUCAGUAAUGAAAAUCUCUUAAAAAUCUAUUUAACUAUCAUAUAAAGCAUCAUAUCGGAUAAAGCUAAUGGAUUGUUUUUGAUUUUUUAAAUGUUUCUGGAAUGAAUGAAGGCAAUUCAAAAAUUAAUUCAAAAAGUAAUUUAAAAAAUUAUUUAAAAAGAUUUGUUUAUAUUACAUGAAAUUACUUUGGAACAGAGUUGAAUAAUUCUUUCGAAAUCCGGUUCACUAUAACUUAGGAAGGUUAGCAAGAUGGCGAUGCAGGUCAAUCUAAGUUGGAUCCAAUUGAAGCGAACCGUGUGUUCACGAAUUGCCUGUGCCAACGUGUCAUGGAUUUACGACACGUCUAUGAAGUGUACAGACACCAGAUCCUAAUAAUUCAUGUGGCUCCAGAAACGUAGACCAUCUGUUGCCCAUAAAGUGAUUACCUUGUUGCAAUUUUAAUUAAUGUGUCUUUAUGUGAGGAAUAUGAUUUCUCUGUAAUAAAUUAUUACAAUUAACUUAACGUACAGUUUCUAUUUGUGUUUUGUGUAAAAUUAAAGAUUAAGAGAUUAAAAAGUUUUAUUUUUAAAGACGAAGGAGUCUUAGAAAGAUAUUUAUUUUUCUUUUUUAAUCAUAUAAAUUGUAUACAAAAUUUUCUUGAAAUUUAAUUUUCAAAUAAUCAUCAGAGGAAAGAUUAACUAACAAAAUAAAAUUGAUAUUCAAAAAUAUAUUAUUAUUCAUAUAGAUAAGAGAUAAAGUAAAAGAAUACAAUUUGAAUAAUUUCUAUGUGUUAUUUUCUGACUAAUAUCGUGCAUUCAUAAAUCUAUAUUUCAUAUUCUGAAUUCUUAUUCAAACCACUGAUAUGUAAAUUCUUCCUAUUGUACCGAUUUCCCAUUUUCUUAGAACGAAAAUGACAAGUAUAAAAUAAAAACAAAAUGCGUUUCAAACGAAAAUUGUUAAAAACCUAAAUAUUAAAGAAAAAUAGAUACAUCUUCAAAUUCCAAUUACGAUUAUUUCGCGCGAGAUUGCUUAAAAUUAGAAUUCGGGAUAACACUUAAUUCGUUUUGGUAAUUUCAAGGAAUUGUCUCGUCCAAUAAUCUCUUAACCUCGUAUUAUACUCGAUAGGGAAACGGAAAGAAGCAAUAUAAAGUCCUAGAUAAACCUAAGCUCAUUCGAGAGGGUCAUUAAAUGGGCACGAUAAAGGCUUUAAAACCUUCUCUAUCUUCUUUCACCCUUUUUCCACUUUAAAUCAAAAGCUCCGCUUAAAAGCAAUCUUUUAAGUGUUUAAUCCACGGUACACACAAUUAUUGAAUGUCUUGCAGAAAGUAUAAUUUAAUUUGUUGCUUAAGAAGAAAAAAAGGAGAGGGGGAAAAAGGAUAGUAAUUGUAUUAUUUAAUUUAAUAUUCUUGAAAUUGAAGUUGGUAUUUCUAAUAAUAAUAAAUGUAAUUUUAUGAAAGGAUAAAUGUUUUUAAAAUCUAGAAAAUUUCUUUGCCAAUGUAUUUAUAUUUCAUAUUUAUUUGUUACAUUUUUUUUUCGUAUUUGAAAUUAAUUCUUUUAAUAUUAUUUUAUUCAAGUUGAUCAACUUAAUAAUUAUUUGCAAUAAUUUUUAAUAGAAAUGAAAAUUUACUGUAUCUCAAAAGUUUCUUUUUCUCUUUUUUUUUUACAAUAUAUCAUAAUUUUUUUUUUUUUUUCCCCCUUCUUCUAUCUAUUUUACAGUCAAAGUAUUUCAUUUCAUAUUUUUUGCAAUUAUCUAAAAAUGCGUAGAUUCUUUUCAUCCAUUAUCAUUGAUAUAUUUUAUAAAACAUAUAUAAUAAAUAAUUCCAGUUUUAAAGUGAUUUAAUUAGUGUGAUCAAUUUCACGUUUUAUACUUCUUAUACAGAUUCUCUCUUAUAAAAUAAAUCUUAAAACUAUUUAAUCAAAACUACUUCUCAACAAUUCUACUUCCAACACUUUUUACUUGAAAUCCAUCCAACCUCGAUCGAGCCUCCCAAUUGCAUUAUUAACAGCAAGUUCGUCCAAGUUUCAACCGUAAUUCCAACCGCAAAAUGAUUUAACUUCGGUUCAAGGUUAAAUUAAUUUCAAGAAAAACACGGGAAAACGGAUGAUAUCCUCGGUAAUAUUAAUUUAAACUUUAGCACACUGCGGCCAAGGAUGAGCACGACUAAUAAAAGUGUUCAGGAACCUUUUAAUCCCUUAACGUAAACAUCUUUCACGAGAUACGAAAAGAGUAAUUCUCGUUUCGACGUGAAAGAUUAAAAAGUGCGUUGUGGGUUAAUCGAAGAACGGUUGAACUUUUGUUUUAAAUAUUUAGAAAGGAAAGGAGGAAUAAUAAAAGUAUAUUACGUGUAUGCAAAUGAGGUUGAUGAAUUAUUAAUUAACAUGGAGAGAAAUAAAAAAGUAUACAGUAGUAUAAGCUCGGUUAAUACGAAAAAUAUUUAAUUUAAAUUUUUAGAUGUAUAGCUUGAGAUCCUAAUUUUUUUCAUUUUUUUUUUUUUUGUAAAUAUUUGAAAUUUGUUUCUUUAUUUAAAAUUAGUUUUGAAGCUUUUAAUCUGCGAUUUAUGGAUCCUUGAGAAAAUUUAAGACUAUAAUUUUAGAGUUUUUAACAUUUGAUCUACUAAAUUUUCGAAGGAAAUCCUCAAACUAAAUUUAAAAUUUGAGGAUUGUUAAUGAACAAUGUAUUUUAAAUAAUAUAUUAUGAUAUAUAUUUGAUGUACAUUUUGCAAAUUUAAAUUUUCGGAUCUUAGAAUAAAAUAAAUAAAAUAAAUACCACUGUAUUAAUAUUUUUUUUUUUUUUGCAGAAAAUAGCUCUUUAUAUUUUUCUUAUUAUUUAUCUUUAUUAUAAUUACUUAACAUUAACUAAUUAAUGAUAAAUUAUAUUAUGUUUUUAUAUUUUAAAUAAAAACUUUAGAAUUAUAUUUUAAUCGGAAAUUAUACAAAAGUUCUAUUAAAGAUUUAUAAAGAAUAUUAUUGGAAAUAUUGAAGUGUAUCAUAAAAGUAUUAUAUGGCACAUACACGGAAUGAAUUAUUAAUCGUACAAUGGAUUAAAAUAAUAUUGAAAUGCCUAAUAAAAUGUGAAAUCUUAUUUGGAUAUUUAAAAUUGCAAAAGAUAAAAAUAUAAUACACACGAAUUAUUAAUUAUUGUUUUUUAAAGUUAUAAAUCGAAUCAUAAAAGAUGUACAAGCUAUAAAUGAAAAUGCAAAAUAGUUAAAUUAACAAUGAAAAUAUAUCUUUGAAAGAUUGUAUAAUGAAUUAAUUAUUGUAUUAUAUAUAAUUAAUAUGCUCGACUCGUUGAAAAAAAUCUAAUAAUCUUAUACAUUGUUUUCUAAAAAAUAAAUAAAUAAAACAAAAUCGAUCAGUUUAAUUAAUUGGAAUAAAUUAUUUUAUCAUUAUAUUGUAUUAUUUGUAUAUGAAACCUUUUGCAGUUAUUUGAAAUGUCAAAUAAAACGAAUAUAACAUGAAUUGAUAUUAAAAAAAAAAAAAAUUUUUAAAUAAUAAGUAUGCAAAAUGUUUGAAAGAAAUAAUAAUAAAUUGUCGGCGAAAAACAUUGUAAAAUAUUCAUUGUGUACAAAAAUCGGCGUGAAUAAAGAGAUUUUUCGUGGAAAGAUUUAAAUUUCAAUGAACCAGCCGAAUUCCGCACAGUGAAUGAUAGAGUAUCGCGGUCGGUUCGAAAAAUUUGCUGGCACACACGUAGCUGUUGAAUAAAACAAGCCUUGUUUACCUGGUAAAAGUGCGCAUUUAUUGUUACCGGAUAAACAAUUAAAACGUGUUAAGUACAUAAACGAGAUAUAGCUGGAUAAACGCGUAUAAUGCAUAUUUUUAUCGAAAUAAUGGAAAUAAUGAAAAUCUCUUUCUGUUAUAAAGAAUGCUUAUAAGUAGUACUGCAAAUACUAGAAAGCUUUAUCAAUGCGUAAUUAUACUAUCGAUAGAAAAUCUGUAUUCUGUAAAUAAAAUUUUGAUUUUCCAACAGUUAAUAUUAUUUUUAGAGAAAAGUAUUUAUGAAAAUCAAAAUUAUUAUUUUUAAUGCGUAUUUAUUGAUUUUAUUAUUUCAAUGUUCAAUUUUUACUUAUUAUUAUAAACGGUUGAAAGAAUUAUUGAUAAUUUAUAUCACUGUAGGAAAUAUGUUAUAUUUACCGCUUAUCGUACGAAAUUUAAUUUCUUCGUUUAUUCAUUAAUAAUUAGACUGCGAAUUUUCGUGCAAAUAUUUUUCACAUAACGUAUAUUUCAUUAAUAACAUAUACAUAUAUAUAUAUCUCCCUUUUUUUUUCUCUUUUUUUUUCCAACAAGAAUACAAAAACAACACAUCCCAUGUGUUAUUAUUAUUUUAAACGGUAAAAGGCUAUAUGUGGUAAUCGUAUUGAUUGAUUCACGGUUGAAAGAAAAUUGAUUGUUUCUGGAUUAUAAAAUGGCAUGGUUAAUGAAAGCAGGAACGUCCUGAAACUUGUCUGCUCCAACAGUCUGGAAAUGGCAGCGUGGUAACCGUGUUACCGGCCGCAAAGUCAUAAGACUCCUCGGGUGCUGUGAACAUUGUUUCCUCGCCGACCACGUGGAGGAAAUUCCAUCCGGUUGAAACGUGUCCGUGAUCACCAAGUUGCUAUCGUGGGACUGAUCACAGAAUGUCUUCUACGAUGGAGUUCUGUUAUAAUGAACACACAGAGCUUGGAACAAAUGACUUUCAUUAUGGACCUUUUAAUUUGAGCAAAUAUUGGAUAUACGUAGACUGUGAAUUUUUUAUGCAAAUAUAUAUCUUUUUGAUGAGGAUUUAUUAGCUGAGUAAGUAUAAUUUCAGAUCCAGUUUCUAGCUGAACUGAAGAGACCUCCCAGAUAACAGUCUGCCCAUAGAGGGUGUCAUCGUCGUCGUCGUCGUCAUAGGUGCGGCGAAACGAGGCUUCUAUCUUUUUUUCCACGUGCAACUUCCGCCCAGGAAAAAAAAACUCAAGUUCGUGUAGGUGGCGACCGAAUGGAGGCAGCCUUCUGAAGAUUGCAAAGGCAAUUUCCGCCGACAAUGUGGUCCACUUUAUUCCACGCAUGGUGCGUACCCUCACUCUCGCCACUCGAGGGUCGAGAGGCAGAAAGACGAAGGGAGUUCAGCCUCUUUUAUUUUUCGGAUAUGCCCUUCGUCCUGCAAAAGAGGAGCCUCUUGUGCUGCCAAGGAAAGGGAUUGAGGGGAUUGAAGGGGUCGAACGGAGAAUAAGAAAAAGAAGUGAUGUGUAUUGAAGCUGUUAAACGAGUCACGUUACUUUAAGGGUUGGUUUUUGCAUCGUUUUUUGUGAUUUUUUAUAAAUUUUAAAAAUAUUUUUUUAAGCGAAAGAAGAAAUCGGAUUUUUUAAUUUAAAAUCGGACGAAAAUAUAUGUGAUUCUAUAUCUUUUGAAAUUGAUCUUUAUCAUUCUGUCAAACGUUUAUUUACUCGUUAAUACUCGGAUAUAUCUGUUUAUUUUAUGUUCAAUAAUAAGUUUUGAACGAUGUUUCC